rnacentral:tRNA from 1 species
GCGGACGUGGCGGAAUUGGCAGACGCGCUAGAUUUAGGAUCUAGUAAGUGAAAACUUGUGGGGGUUCGAGUCCCCCCGUCCGCACCA